UACAGAGGGGGCGAGCGUUAUUCGGAAUUAUUGGGCGUAAAGGGCGCGUAGGCGGCUUUUCAAGUGACGGGUGAAAUCCCUCGGCUUAACCGAGGAACUGCCUGUCAGACUGGAAGGCUUGAGACCGGGAGAGGUGAGUGGAAUUCCCAGUGUAGCAGUGAAAUGCGUAGAUAUUGGGAGGAACACCAGUGGCGAAGGCGGCUCACUGGACCGGAACUGACGCUGAGGCGCGAAAGCGUGGGGAGCAAACAGG
rnacentral:rRNA from 1 species